AAAUGUUUGUGAUGAUGCAAUCUACCCGCGGCUAGACGGAAAGACCCCAUGAACCUUUACUGUAGCUUUGCAUUGGACUUUGAAUCAAUCUGUGUAGGAUAGGUGGGAGGCUUUGAAGCGGGGACGCCAGUUCUCGUGGAGCCAUCCUUGAAAUACCACCCUGGUUCAUUUGAGGUUCUAACCUUGGUCCGUUAUCCGGAUCGGGGACAGUGCAUGGUAGGCAGUUUGACUGGGGCGGUCUCCUCCUAAAGUGUAACGGAGGAGUUCGAAGGUACGCUAGGUACGGUCGGACAUCGUGCUAAUAGUGCAAUGGCAUAAGCGUGCUUAACUGCGAGACCGACAAGUCGAGCAGGUACGAAAGUAGGACAUAGUGAUCCGGUGGUUCUGUAUGGAAGGGCCAUCGCUCAACGGAUAAAAGGUACUCUGGGGAUAACAGGCUGAUUCCUCCCAAGAGUUCAUAUCGACGGGGGAGUUUGGCACCUCGAUGUCGGCUCAUCACAUCCUGGGGCUGUAGCCGGUCCCAAGGGUAUGGCUGUUCGCCAUUUAAAGUGGUACGUGAGCUGGGUUUAAAACGUCGUGAGACAGUUUGGUCCCUAUCUGCCGUGGGCGUUGGAAAUUUGAAGGGGGCUGCUCCUAGUACGAGAGGACCGGAGUGGACGAACCUCUGGUGUACCGGUUGUCACGCCAGUGGCAUUGCCGGGUAGCUAAGUUCGGAAGAGAUAACCGCUGAAAGCAUCUAAGCGGGAAACUUGCCUUGAGAUGAGAUUUCCCGGAGCCUUGAGCUCCUUGAAGGGUCGUUCGAGACCAGGACGUUGAUAGGCUGGGUGUGGAAGUGCAGUAAUGCAUUAAGCUAACCAGUACUAAUUGCCCGU
rnacentral:ncRNA from 1 species